rnacentral:rRNA from 1 species
UACAGAGGGUGCAAGCGUUGUUCGGAAUUACUGGGCGUAAAGGGCUCGUAGGCGGCCAACUAAGUCAGACGUGAAAUCCCUCGGCUUAACCGGGGAACUGCAUCUGAUACUGGAUGGCUUGAGUUCGGGAGAGGGAUGCGGAAUUCCAGGUGUAGCGGUGAAAUGCGUAGAUAUCUGGAGGAACACCGGUGGCGAAGGCGGCAUCCUGGACCGACACUGACGCUGAGGAGCGAAAGCCAGGGGAGCAAACGGG